UCCAGAAAGAUAAUAAUUGAAAAAAAAAUAAAUUAAAUUUUUUUAAAAUGUUUUAUUAAUUUUAAAAUUUAAAAUAAUUAUAUACUUCAAAUUAAACUAAUUUGAGUGUUUACGAUAAAUAUAUAAUGUGUAGUAGCAGAAUUAAGAUAUAAAAGAGGCAAUGCAAGACUUGCAAUAAUACAAAGCAAAAUAAAGCAAGCAAGGAAAGCCACAACACAAACACAUAAUUUUAUAAUAGUUUGGUGCAAUCCCGCAUCUACAUCUACUCCUCAAGAUCUUUUUGAAAAUUUCAGUACAAUCUUUCUGAUUACAAUGUGUUUGCUUUAUCUAAGAUUACAAAUAAAUUCAGUUAAUUUUUUAAAAUCACCAACCAAAACCUAUACAUCGAUUAUUUUUCAGAUUCAUAAUCAAUCUAGUUAGUUUUAUGAGCUUACCAACCACAAUCUAUAAUAUCCGAUUUUGGACUUGGACGAGCCUAAUCCAAAAUUUUUUCUCCUAAAGAAACUUGAAAAGAAAAUAAGAAUACAAGAAUAAAUAUUAGAACAAAAAAUAAAAAUAGAAUUUAAACUCUUUAGAGUGCGGAGAAAAGCUGAUGAUUUGUUCUUUUGAAGCUCGAGAUGAUGUGGA
rnacentral:lncRNA from 1 species